rnacentral:lncRNA from 1 species
GGAGCGCGUGAAUGUUCCCGAGACACCGGACGGCGCGCGCAGUCCGUGUUCUGUUUCUCCUCCCGCAGUCGGACAGACGCAGUGCACGACACCACACAAACCGGGCACCGGGACACAAGAGCGCAGUGAUAGACACUGAACUACAAAAACAUGAGGUUGUCGCUAUGUCAAAGAAAUGGAAUAACAUUUAAACUUAAAAAGAAAUCGUGAAGAUUUUCUUUCUGGGUGGAGCUCUUUGUUAGGUAUCUUUCCCCCCAUUUGGGAUUCGCUGAUAGGGCGACCAGCUCUAGAAAAUGAAAUCUCAUGAGGGAGAACUGGAGAGGGAGAUCUCGAAGGUUCAGGGCAUGGUGUGUGAGUUGCGGGCAGGGUUUUCUCGUGCACUGCUGGAGCUGAAUCAGAUUCAGCAGGGAGACACUGAGCUGCAGAGCCAGCUGGAGGACACAAGACAUGGCUGCAACAAGCGCUCCCUUCACCUAGAGAGUCUGGUGCUGUCCCUCAAGGAGGAGCUGGAGGAGGUACGUUGUCAGUUUCGUCAACUUGGCGAGGCACAAGAAAGAAAGGCACCAGAGAAUCCAGGAAGAGAGAAUGUGAGUGCUGAUGUGUGUAUGUGUGAAUGCAGUAAUGGAGUGGAUGACCGUAGUGGACAGAGUAAUGGUGCUGCAGAGGCUCCUCCCCUUUCAUCUGUGGGUGGAGAUUUCCUCAUACACUGUUACCUGCAGGGAUUACAGGUGUGGCAAUGGGCCAGACAGAAUUCAGGUGAAGAUUCUCUUUCCUGCCAUGUAACACACAGCUGCCUACGGCGGGGUAAAUAAUCUGUUCCCCAAACCUUUUAACGGCUUAGCAUUCACAUGUGGAUCCUCAUGUCUCUCUGUCUCUUUGUGUCAGGCAGGAGGCGGGGUGUGGUGGAGAUGCUGUUACAGUCUGAACGCGAUUAUGUGUCUAGUUUGAAUCAGCUCUAUGAGAAAUACAAAUCUGCUGAGCAAAAGUAGAGAACUAUAAUCAUUAUCACCGUUUCAUGUCAUCUCUUUAUCACACACUAUAACAAGUGUAUUUGUGUGUUUGUGAGACAGUGUGGCGCUUGUAAAGCAUAUCGAUCAGAUGCUACAGCACCACCUGCUGUUCCGUAACACCCUAGAAGAACGACUGACCACCGAUGAGAGAAGCUGUGCUGCCGGGGAUGCUUUCCUCAACCUUACUGGACAGAACAAUGUAAUGCCAUUGACUACUAAAAUAAUCAUAUGUAGUCCCGUUUUAAAUUGA